rnacentral:rRNA from 1 species
UACGGAGGGUGCGAGCGUUAAUCGGAAUAACUGGGCGUAAAGGGCACGCAGGCGGGCUUUUAAGUGAGAUGUGAAAGCCCCGGGCUUAACCUGGGAAUAGCAUUUGAGACUGGGAGUCUAGAGUACUGUAGAGAGGGGUAGAAUUCCACGUGUAGCGGUGAAAUGCGUAGAGAUGUGGAGGAAUACUGAAGGCGAAGGCAGCCCCUUGGAAAUGUAUUGACGCUCAGGUGCGAAAGCGUGGGGAGCAAACAGG